rnacentral:tRNA from 1 species
AGGCACGUAGCUCAGCGGGAGAGCACCGUCCUGACACGGCGGGGGUCAGCAGUUCAAAUCUGCUCGUGCCUACCA